rnacentral:rRNA from 1 species
AUUAAACGCUGGCGGCAUGCUUUACACAUGCAAGUCGAACGGUAACAGGGUGCUUGCACCGCUGACGAGUGGCGAACGGGUGAGUAAUGUAUCGGAACGUACCGUGUAAUGGGGGAUAACGCAUCGAAAGGUGUGCUAAUACCGCAUACGCCCUGAGGGGGAAAGUGGGGGACCGUAAGGCCUCACGUUAUACGAGCGGCCGAUAUCUGAUUAGCUAGUUGGUGAGGUAAAGGCUCACCAAGGCGACGAUCAGUAGCGGGUCUGAGAGGAUGAUCCGCCACACUGGAACUGAGACACGGUCCAGACUCCUACGGGAGGCAGCAGUGGGGAAUUUUGGACAAUGGACGCAAGUCUGAUCCAGCCAUUCCGCGUGCAGGAUGAAGGCCCUCGGGUUGUAAACUGCUUUUGUACGGAACGAAAAGGUUUCUAUUAAUACUAGGAGCUCAUGACGGUACCGUAAGAAUAAGCACCGGCUAACUACGUG